AUUUAAAUAGCUUAAAAUAAAGAGUAUAAUAUUGAAGAUAUUAGGGUAAUAUAUGUAUAUUUUUAA
rnacentral:tRNA from 1 species